rnacentral:rRNA from 1 species
CCAGCCUGCCAGUGACCACAAGUUCAACGGCCGCGGUAUUUUGACCGUGCAAAGGUAGCGCAAUCACUUGUCUUUUAAAUGAAGACCUGUAUGAAUGGCUAAACGAGGGCUUAACUGUCUCCCAUCUCAAGUCAGUGAAAUUGAUCUGCCCGUGCAGAAGCGGACAUAAAUAUACAAGACGAGAAGACCCUUUGGAGCUUAAGGUACAAAUCCAACCGCGUCAAACAGCUUAUCUAAACAAGCUCUAAACCUAGCGAAAAUGGAAUUUUACCUUCGGUUGGGGCGACCACGGAGAAAAAAUCAUCCUCCGAGUGGACUGGGUUAAUUAAUCCUAAAACCAAGAAAAACAUUUCUAAGUCACAGAACGUCUGACCAAUAAUGAUCCGGCCAUAGGCCGAUCAACGGACCAAGUUACCCUAGGGAUAACAGCGCAAUCCUCUCCCAGAGUCCAUAUCGACGAGGGGGUUUACGACCUCGAUGUUGGAUCAGGACAUCCUAAUGGUGCAGCCGCUAUUAAGGGUUCGUUUGUUCAACGAUUAAAGUCCUACGUGAUCUGAGUUCAG